GUGACCUAGUGGUUGAGACACCAGGUUUACACCCUGGGAGUUGUAGGUUCAAGCCCGG
rnacentral:tRNA from 1 species